AAAUUCCCCUUGCAACUGCCACCCAAGCAGCAUGCAUCUAUGACACCAGAGGGAAAUGUGCAGGCAUCCUCACCCCUGACCGCCUACAAAUCCUGCUCCAAGCAUACAGCGCAGCCAGACUAGCUGGCCUACAUGACACCUUACAGCCCCCCGUGCAAGAUGAAGCUACAGAAAUCAUGAGUCUCCUUCAUAGAUACUCGUCAAAUCUUGGAAAAGGCAACCAGAAAAUAA
rnacentral:lncRNA from 1 species